UUUAAUAGUUUAGUUAAAGUAAGUUUGCGUAAACUGUAAAGGAUGCAAAGUAUAAUGAUAAAGUAUAGCUGAGUUCUAGUACCUUUUGCAUCAGGGUGGGUUUAGUUUAAGUUAUAAGGAGGCUUAUUAGCCCGAAGGGGAUGAAGCUAUCGUGUUUGAGUAGAUAUAACGUUGUAAGGUUAUAUAUAACUUCUCGAUAUACAGCUAUAAACCAUCUGCUGUCUUUGAUAUCUGGUUGGUCAAAAAAGGUGUUUAGCACUUUUCUUUGUUUAAAGAAAGCGGAGUUUAUGGGUAAGCUGUAAACUUUUUUAAUUGAAAUAAAGACUAAAUUAACUGUAUCUAGUGUCUUUAGUAGUGAGAAUCUUUGGUAGUGUGUUUUAACUAAAUAUGUGUAAAAUUUAAAUUUAUAAUUUGUUUCAUUGUUCGUACAUUGGCUUAUUGCUGAUAAAAGUAAGUAAUAAUGAGUCAAUGAGUAGAAGUAACUUGUAAACUGCAAUAAUAACUCUAAUGAUUGAUUUAGAGGAGCUGGGAGUGCGUGAUUUUUGUCUUGUUUACUUUUAAGCUGUUUGUAAUGAACUCGGCAAAGUAGUUGUUCGAAUGUUUAUCAAAAACAUUUCCUCUUGUAAAUAUUGGAGGUAGUCCCUGCCCAGUGCCAGGUAAGUGGUCAACGGCGGCCUUAGUCUGAGGGUCCAAAGGUAGCAUAAUAAUUUGGCUCUUAAUUGGAGUCUUGUAUGAAUGGGUUAACGUAAUAACGACUGUGUCACAAGCAUACUAUUGAAGUUAACUUAAAGGUGCAAAGGCCUUUAUUAAUAAGAAGGACGACAAGACCCUAGAAUCUUUAUGAUUGUCCGUGUUUACGAUAAUAAUGAAGUUUUCAGCUUACCCGUAAACAGGGUUAAAAUUUUGUUGGGGCAACAGGGGGAAUAUGUCUCGCCCAUAAAUCCUGGUUUAACUGAUUUGGAGUGUAUUUUUACCAACUGGUUUAGGCCGUUAUAAUGCGAGAAUGAUUAAGUUACUCUAGGGAUAACAGCGCAAUACCUUUUGAGAGCUCUUAUUGAAAAAGGUGCUUGCGACCUCGAUGUUGGCUUAGGGUAUCCUGUAGGUGUAGAAGCUUGCACGGGUUGGUCUGUUCGCCCAUUAAAACCCUACAUGAGCUGAGUUCAGACCGGCGUGAGCUAGGUCAGCUUCUAUCCUCUUAUUAGUAAUUAUUGUUUUGUUAGUACGAAAGGAAAUCAAAAGCAAAAAGGAAAAUUUUUUAUAUUUUAUAUUAUAAAUUUGUUUUAGAUCCU
rnacentral:rRNA from 1 species